CCUACGGGAGGCAGCAGUGGGGAAUAUUGGACAAUGGGCGCAAGCCUGACCCAGCAACGCCGCGUGAAGGAAGAAGGCUUUCGGGUUGUAAACCUCUUUUCUCAGGGACGAAGCAAGUGACGGUACCUGAGGAAUAAGCCACGGCUAACUACGGGCCAGCCGCCGCGGUAAUACGUAGGUGGCAAGCGUUAUCCGGAUUUACUGGGUGUAAAGGGCGUGUUGGCGGGGAAGCAAGUCAGAUGUGAAAACCAUGGGCUCAACCUGUGGACUGCAUUUGAAACUGUUUGUCUUGAGUACUGGAGAGGCAGACGGAAUUCCGAGUGUAGCGGUGAAAUGCGUAGAGAUUAGGAGGAACACCAGUGGCGAAGGCGGUCUGCUGGACAGCAACUGACGCUGAGGCGCGAAAGCGUGGGGAGCAAACAGGAUUAGAUACCCGAGUAGUC
rnacentral:rRNA from 1 species